GGCUGAGCAUAGCGAAAGAACUGAGGUUUGUGGCAGCAAAGGGAAACCACAGUUCUGAAUGGCAGGGAAACGCCUCCGUAUGCAGAUGGUUUACAUGUGGCCCGCAGAAGAAAGUAUUUUACCCACGGAGUUGGACAGAAAGACUGAGCAAUGGACCUCCUUGGAGCACCAAAACACUGCCUCAUCAUGUGCUGGUACCAGAGGAUCCUGAAGUUGGGGACAUAACUUAUUUAGAAAGUGAACUUGGUCAGAUAAUGGAAGAUGGAGACUGGGGCCGGAGCUGCCCUGGUCCUGUCUUGAGCUGGCCGCCUGGCUGCAGCCUGCUGCUCAUCUGUCCCGUCGGGCCCACUACAGGUCUCCAGGCUUGCACAGGUUCUGCACCUCUGAUGGACCCAGGACGUCAUUCUGCAAGCGCAUCCUUUACAUCAGACUACUGCUUUCCAGACUCCAAAGCAGCUCCUCACAUCUUUUUUUCCCCUAAUUUCAGAAACCACAACCUCCUUGAGGAGAAUCCUUUACUAAAUGGGACAAGUUUCAUGGACUCUCACCUGCUUGAACUUACUCUUUUAAUAUCUUUGUGGAAAAUAUUUACAUGAAAAAAAAUUUAUGAAUUCAAUAAUUUUAAAUGAACUCAUAUUUUACUGUCCACUCUAUACAUUUGGAAAUAGUAGUAGUUAUACAUGGAGAGCAACAGUUUUCUCUAUAAGCGAUGCU
rnacentral:lncRNA from 1 species